AAUGCAAGAAGAGGGAAAUGGGGAAGGUAAUGCAAGAAGAGGGAAAUGGGGAGAAUGCAAGAAGAGGGAAAUGGGGGAGGGAAUGCAAGAAGAGGGAAAUAGGGGGAAUGUAAGAAGAGGGAAAUAGGGAGAAUGCAAGAAGAGGGAAAUGGAGGGAGGGAAUGCAAGAAGAGAGAAAUG